CAGAGUUGGCAAGGGAGAGUAUGAAGUCGAAGUCUUGAGGAGUGGGUUUAGAAGGGGACAUGUAACUGGUAGAAUAAAUAUUUCUUAAAGCCAAAACCGAAACAAGGAUGAUUUCAGGGCUGAGGAUGGCCCUGGAGGCCCUGAAAUGCUUCUCUGUUAUUCACAUGCCCGGGCACAGAAGAGAGCCGGGCAGAGGUGUCUUCACCCCAAUACCUAAAAUCUAGAGUGAGUGAUUGCCUAUGGAAGUCAAGAUUCAGCUCAGAGAGUCUACAUCCUGGGUAGAGUCCUUCCUGGCAUCACUUGGGAGAAAAUACGUUCUAAAAACAGCUGUCAAAGGUAAACAGGAAGCUUUUAUCACAAUUGGAGACGGGACAUGAGUGGCCUGUGCAGAAAUAGAAGAUUGACUUAAAAAUAGACGCAAUGGAAACAGAGGAGCAUCUUAUAGGCCAGCUGUCCCCUGCUACCUGCCCCAGGCUCUGAGCCUGGCACCUGCUCCCUCUUCGGUUAAGAAGGGAAUAUUAGCAAGUGUUGAGAGGUGCUAAAAAUGUAGUAGUCCCAAACUGACACAACUCCUUGACAAUCAGAAGGAUGGAAAGUGAA